rnacentral:rRNA from 1 species
ACUCAAAGGAAUAGACGGGGGCCCGCACAAGCGGCGGAGCAUGCGGAUUAAUUCGAUGCAACGCGAAGAACCUUACCAAGGCUUGACAUCACCCGGAAUCGGCCAGAGAUGGUCGCGUCUUCGGACUGGGUGACAGGUGGUGCAUGGUUGUCGUCAGCUCGUGUCGUGAGAUGUUGGGUUAAGUCCCGCAACGAGCGCAACCCUUGUCUCAUGUUGCCAGCGGGUUAUGCCGGGGACUCAUGGGAGACUGCCGGGGCCAACUCGGAGGAAGGUGGGGAUGACGUCAAAUCAUCAUGCCCCUUAUGUCUUGGGCUUCACGCAUGCUACAAUGGCCGGUACAACGGGUUGCGAUACUGUGAGGUGGAGCGAAUCCCUAAAAGCCGGUCUCAGUUCGGAUUGGGGUCUGCAACUCGACCCCAUGAAGUCGGAGUCGCUAGUAAUCGCAGAUCAGCAACGCUGCGGUGAAUACGUUCCCGGGCCUUGUACACACCGCCCGU